AGAACGAACGCUGGCGGCAUGCCUAACACAUGCAAGUCGAACGCUUCACCGGUUUCGGCCGGUGGGGAGUGGCGCACGGGUGAGUAGCGCGUGGGAACCUGCCCUGUUGUGGGGGAUAACCGAGGGAAACUUCGGCUAAUACCGCAUAAGCCGGUUGUCUUGAAAGAGAUGGCCGGGAAAGAUUUAUCGCGACAGGAGGGGCCCGCGUCGGAUUAGCUAGUUGGUGAGGUAAGAGCCCACCAAGGCAUAGAUCGGUAGCCGGCCUGAGAGGGCACACGGCCACACUGGCACUGAAACACGGGCCAGACUCCUACGGGAGGCAGCAGUGGGGAAUCUUGCACAAUGGGGGCAACCCUGAUGCAGCGACGCCGCGUGAGCGAUGAAGCCCUUCGGGGUGUAAAGCUACUUUCGGCAGGGAAGAUGAUGACGGUACCUGCAGAAGCAGCUGCGGCUACUACGCGCCAGCAGCCGCGGU
rnacentral:rRNA from 1 species